GAGUUUGAUCCUGGCUCAGGAUGAACGCUAGCGACAGGCUUAACACAUGCAAGUCGAGGGGCAGCGGGGGUGAUGGCUUGCCAUCACCUGCCGGCGACCGGCGCACGGGUGAGUAACACGUAUGCAACCUGCCCGCCACAGGGGGAUAAGCGGAAGAAAUUCCGUCUAAUACCGCGUGACGCGGCGCCGGGGCAUCCCGGUGCCGCCAAAGGGAUUACCGGUGGCGGAUGGGCAUGCGGCGCAUUAGCUAGUCGGCGGGGUAACGGCCCACCGAGGCGACGAUGCGUAGGGGUUCUGAGAGGAAGGUCCCCCACACUGGUACUGAGACACGGACCAGACUCCUACGGGAGGCAGCAGUGAGGAAUAUUGGUCAAUGGGCGGGAGCCUGAACCAGCCAAGUCGCGUGAGGGAUGACGGUCCUACGGAUUGUAAACCUCUUUUGCCGGGGAGCAAGCGUGCGUUCGUGAACGCGCGUCGAGAGUACCCGGAGAAAAAGCAUCGGCUAACUCCGUGCCAGCAGCCGCGGUAAUACGGAGGAUGCGAGCGUUAUCCGGAUUUAUUGGGUUUAAAGGGUGCGUAGGCGGGAUGCCAAGUCAGCGGUAAAAAUGCGGUGCUCAACGCCGUCGAGCCGUUGAAACUGGCGUUCUUGAGUGGGCGAGAAGUAUGCGGAAUGCGUGGUGUAGCGGUGAAAUGCAUAGAUAUCACGCAGAACUCCGAUUGCGAAGGCAGCAUACCGGCGCCCUACUGACGCUGAGGCACGAAAGCGUGGAUAUCGAACAGGAUUAGAUACCCUGGUAGUCCACGCAGUAAACGAUGAAUGCUAACUGUCCGGCUCGAGUGAGCGCUGGGCGGUACAGCGAAAGCGUUAAGCAUUCCACCUGGGGAGUACGCCGGCAACGGUGAAACUCAAAGGAAUUGACGG
rnacentral:rRNA from 1 species